GUCCAGGGGCGGGAAUCGAACCCACAACGUUCCGCUUACCGGGCAGAUGCCAUGUCCACUAAGCUACCCUGGA
rnacentral:tRNA from 1 species